rnacentral:rRNA from 1 species
AACGAACGCUGCGGCAGGCUUAACACAUGCAAGUCGAGCGCCCCGCAAGGGGAGCGGCAGACGGGUGAGUAACGCGUGGGAAUCUACCUUUUGCUACGGAACAACAGUUGGAAACGACUGCUAAUACCGUAUGUGCCCUUCGGGGAAAGAUUUAUCGGCAAAGGAUGAGCCCGCGUUGGAUUAGCUAGUUGGUGAGGUAA